GGUGGUGCGGCGGCAGCGGCUCCAGCCUCGUUCCGGGGUCCCUUUCGGGGCUGACGCCCGCAAAUAUGCAGAAUUACCGGCCUGGUCGCUCCUAGAGCCAGCGCCGGGGAGCGAGCGCGGCGGCGGCCAGCACCGGGAACGCACCAAGGAAGAGGCCCAGCCCCCGCCCUCCGCCCCUUCCGUCCCCACCCCCUACCCGGCGGCCCAGGAGGCUCCCGGCGCGGCGGGCGCGGCGAGCGCGCACUCCCUGCUCCUCCUCCUCGGUGGCGCUGCCUGCCUCUCCGCACUCGCUGCUCGCGCCUGGCGCGCUCCGUCGGCUCCCUGCUCUCCGCGCCACCCUCCUCCGGGCCGCGCUCCCUGAGGGAUGGUACUGAAUCUCGCCGCCACAGGAGCCCGGCUGGAGCGCCCGCCCCGCGGCCUCGCCACCCCGCCGAGCCGCCAGCGCCUCGGGACGCGAUGAGGACCUGGGCUUGUUUGCUGCUCCUCGGCUGCGGAUACCUCGCCAGUGCCCUGGCCGAGGAAGCCGAGAUCCCCCGCGAGGUCAUUGAGAGGCUGGCGCACAGUCAGAUACACAGCAUCCGGGACCUCCAGCGACUCCUGGAGAUAGACUCCGGGCCGAGGAGCCUUUGGAGACCAGCCUGAGAGCCCACGGGGGCCGUGGCGCCAAGCAUGCACUGGAGAAGCGGCCUGUGCCCAUUCGGAGGAAAAGAAGCAUCGAGGAAGCCAUCCCCGCAGUCUGCAAGACCAGGACGGUCAUUUAUGAGAUACCUCGGAGCCAGGUGGACCCCACGUCUGCCAACUUUCUGAUCUGGCCCCCGUGCGUGGAGGUGAAGCGCUGUACCGGCUGCUGCAACACCAGCAGUGUCAAGUGCCAACCAUCCCGCGUCCACCACCGGAGUGUCAAGGUGGCCAAGGUGGAGUACGUCAGGAAGAAGCCAAAGUUAAAAGAGGUGCAGGUGCGGCUGGAGGAGCACCUGGAAUGCACGUGCGCGAGCGUCAGCCCGAGCCCCGGCCACCGGGAAGAGGAGGCGGAUGUGAGGUGAGGAUCAGCCAGCAGCCCUUUUCCGGGACACGGAUGUACAUGGCGUGUUACAUUCCUGAACCUACUAUGUACGGUGCUUAUUGCCAGCGUGGUCUUUGUUCUCCUCCGUGAAAACUGUCUCCAUGCACACUCUGGAGAACAAAGAGACAGUAUACGUUGUUUAUGUGACAUCAAAGCAAGUAUUGUAGCACUCGGUGAAACAAUAAGAAGCUUCCUUGUCAAAAAAAAGAGAGCAAACAAAACCACGAAACAUGACAAACAAAACUCACUCACAAAAAUAUCUAAACAUUUGCCGGAAUGGAGGGACGCCCCGAGGGAUGGAAGUGACAGACGUCUCGGCAGACUGGAUCUCUUUCCAGGGUGGUCACAGGUGCUUUGGCCAAGGACACAGAGCCUGCUUUCUGAAGGCUGCGAUCGGAUGCCGCCGGGCUCUGCAGGGGCACGCAGGAGCCAGGAAUGUCUCGGAAACCACAUCUCCUUGCUGUAGUGUUUAAGUCUAUACAGAAACCUUCCUGAGAGCCUUAAGUGGAUUUUUUUUUACACCAUAAAGUGAUUAUUAAGCUUUCCUUUCUACUCUUUGCCUAGCUUUUUUUUUUUUUUUUUUUUUUAAUUAUCUCUUGGAUGACAUUUACACCGAUAACACCAGGCUGCAGUAACAGUCAGGACGGUGGGACGGUACCUUUCCUAGCAGGAUGCAAACAAAUGAGAUGUAUUAAAAUAAACAUGGUAUACCCACCUAUGCAUCAUUUCCUAAA